rnacentral:rRNA from 1 species
UACAGAGGCCCCAAGCGUUACUGAGAAUCACUGGGUUUAAAGGGUGCGUAGGCGGUCCAUUAAGUCUGGGGUGAAAGCCCGUUGCUCAACAACGGAACUGCCCUGGAAACUGGCGGACUUGAGUACAGACGAGGGUGGCGGAAUGGAUGCUGUAGCGGUGAAAUGCAUAGAUAGCAUCCAGAACCCCCGAUUGCGAAGGCAGCUGCCUAGACUGUAACUGACGCUGAGGCACGAAAGCGUGGGGAGCGAACAGG